UGGGGGAUAUUGGUCAAUGGGGGAAACCCUGAACCAGCGACGCCGCGUGAGGGAAGAAGGUUUUCGGAUUGUAAACCUCUGUCUCAGGGGAAGAUAAUGACGGUACCCUGGGAGGAAGCCACGGCUAACUACGUGCCAGCAGCCGCGGUAAUACGUAGGUGGCGAGCGUUGUCCGGAAUUAUUGGGUGUAAAGGGAGCGUAGGCGGGAUUGCAAGUUGAAUGUUAAAGGGGCCGGCUUAACCGGCUAAUGCGUUCAAAACUGCGGUUCUUGAGUGUGAUAGAGGUAAGCGGAAUUCCCAGUGUAGCGGUGAAAUGCGUAGAUAUUGGGAGGAACACCAGUGGCGAAGGCGGCUUACUGGGUCAUAACUGACGCUGAGGCUCGAAAGCAUGGGUAGCAAACAGG
rnacentral:rRNA from 1 species